rnacentral:rRNA from 1 species
UCUGAAUCUGCGUACGGCUCCGCAAACCAGUUGUAAACUAUAGCAAGCAAGCUCGGGGUCGGCUCUCGCGGGGCUGGCUUCGGGCGAUAUGGAUAACCCUGGUAAUUCUGAGGGUAAUACAUGAACGUAAAACCUGGUUGACUGGGCUUCGCGGCCUGGGAGGCUGGGGGAUGUGUGAUUGAGGCUUGGAUGAUUCCGGGAAGGGGCGUGCGUCUAGACCGCGUUAUAAAGGACGGGAGCGCUUCGGGGGGCUCGCCCCAGCGGCUCUUGCUGUGUGCUUCUGACCUAUCAACUAGACGGCAGCGUAAGGGACAUGCUAUGGU